AACGAACGCUGGCGGCAGGCCUAACACAUGCAAGUCGAGCGCGCCCUUCGGGGUGAGCGGCGGACGGGUGAGUAACGCGUGGGAACGUGCCCUUUUCUACGGAAUAGCCUCGGGAAACUGAGAGUAAUACCGUAUACGCCCUUUGGGGGAAAGAUUUAUCGGAAAAGGAUCGGCCCGCGUUGGAUUAGGUAGUUGGUGGGGUAAUGGCCUACCAAGCCGACGAUCCAUAGCUGGUUUGAGAGGAUGAUCAGCCACACUGGGACUGAGACACGGCCCAGACUCCUACGGGAGGCAGCAGUGGGGAAUCUUAGACAAUGGGGGCAACCCUGAUCUAGCCAUGCCGCGUGAGUGAUGAAGGCCUUAGGGUUGUAAAGCUCUUCAGCUGGGAAGAUAAUGACGGUACCAGCAGAAGAAGCCCCGGCUAACUCCGUG
rnacentral:rRNA from 1 species